AUUGAACGCUGGCGGCAGGCCUAACACAUGCAAGUCGAACGAGUGGCGGACGGGUGAGUAAUGUCUGGGAAACUGCCUGAUGGAGGGGGAUAACUACUGGAAACGGUAGCUAAUACCGCAUACCAUCGGAUGUGCCCAGAUGGGAUUAGCUUGUUGGUGGGGUAACGGCUCACCAAGGCGACGAUCCCUAGCUGGUCUGAGAGGAUGACCAGCCAGACUGGAACUGAGAAACGGGGCAGACGCCGACGCGAGGCAGCAGUUGGGUAGAUUGCACAAUGGGCGAAAGUCGGAUGCAGGCAUGCCGCGUGUAUGAAGAAGGCCUUCGGGUUGUAAAGUACUUUCAGCGGGGAGGCGGUACCCGCAGAAGAAGCACCGGCGAACUCCGUGCCAGCAGCCGCGGUAAUUC
rnacentral:rRNA from 1 species